UCACCAGGGCCCGUAAAAGCAAAAUGUACCGGGCGUCCCUCGCUUUAGUGGCCGAGAGGGGCUUGGGCCCAAGGCGCAAAAUCAUAACGGUCGAACGAAAGCCAUUAUCACAGCCUCCAAACGGAUAGCCGUUUAUUCCCGUCUUUUCUACGCGUAAUUCACCUUUUUUAAGGAUUUGAUGGCAGAAAAUGGAUUGAAGUAAAAGGACAUUAUGAUAGAGAUAGUAAAAUGUGCUCGAGUUGCAAAGCCAGAAAAGAAAGAAGUUGGAGGUAUAAGGAAUGUAUCAAUGCGUAAAUCGCAAGAAACGAAUAAAAACUUCGUAAACUUAA